rnacentral:rRNA from 1 species
CCUACGGGAGGCUGCAGUGGGGGAUAUUGCACAAUGGCGGGAACCCUGAUGCAGCGACGCCGCGUGAGCGAUGGAGUACUUCGGUAUGUAAAGCUCUGUCAGCAGGGAAGAAAAUGACGGUACCUGACCAAGAAGCCCCGGCUAAAUACGUGCCAGCAGCCGCGGUAAUAAGGAGGGGGCCAGCGUUAUCCGGAUUUACUGGGUGUAAAGGGAGCGUAGGCGGGAGGGCAAGCCUGAUGUGAAAGCCCGGGGCUUAACCCCGGGACUGCAUUGGGAACUGCCCUGCGUGAGUGGCGGAGGGGCAGGCGGAAUGCGUAGUGUAGCGGUGAAAUGCGUAGAUAUUAGGAGGAACACCAGUGGCGAAGGCGGCCUGCUGGACGGUGACUGACGCUGAGGCUCGAAAGCGUGGGGAGCAAACAGGAUUAGAUACCCUGGUAGUC